AAAAGGUGCCUGGAGUGUGAGAGCACCUAAGGCCUUCCUGGAGAAUGCUUUAAAGAGUGGAAGCACCAUAAUUGAGUGAUAUUUCAACCAUCUGCGCCUUCCACACUGACACAAGGGCAGGCCAGUUCCAUUGGGAACCUGCCCUGCCGUCCUUGGGAUUUUCCUAUCUCUACUCAAGGGAGAAACAAAU